rnacentral:rRNA from 1 species
ACUCCUACGGGAGGCAGCAGUGGGGAAUAUUGCACAAUGGGCGCAAGCCUGAUGCAGCCAUGCCGCGUGUAUGAAGAAGGCCUUCGGGUUGUAAAGUACUUUCAGCAGUGAGGAAGGUGGGUAUGUUAAUAGCAUAUUCAUUUGACGUUAGCUGCAGAAGAAGCACCGGCUAACUCCGUGCCAGCAGCCGCGGUAAUACGGAGGGUGCGAGCGUUAAUCGGAAUUACUGGGCGUAAAGCGCAUGCAGGUGGUUUGUUAAGUCAGAUGUGAAAGCCCGGGGCUCAACCUCGGAAUUGCAUUUGAAACUGGCAAACUAGAGUACUGUAGAGGGGGGUAGAAUUUCAGGUGUAGCGGUGAAAUGCGUAGAGAUCUGAAGGAAUACCGGUGGCGAAGGCGGCCCCCUGGACAGAUACUGACACUCAGAUGCGAAAGCGUGGGGAGCAAACAGGAUUAGAUACCCUCGUAGGCUCUGC